GCGUCAGUAGGUUGGUCGUGCCACCGGUACGUACUGGUCUCACUGAUUCCUCCUUCCUGAAGAACCGUAAUGCCAUCAAUUUGGUGUUGCGGGGAAACAGGACUGUUACUUUGAAAAAAUUAGAGUGUUUAAAGCAGGCUAACGCUUGAAUACAUUAGCAUGGAAUAAUGAAAUAGGACGAUCGAUCCUAUUUUGUUGGUUUCUAGGAUUGACGUA
rnacentral:rRNA from 1 species